rnacentral:misc_RNA from 1 species
GAUGAAGAACGCAGCGAAAUGCGAUAAGUAAUGUGAAUUGCAGAAUUCAGUGAAUCAUCGAAUCUUUGAACGCACAUUGCGCCCGCCAGUAUUCUGGCGGGCAUGCCUGUUCGAGCGUCAUUUCAACCAUCAAGCCCCCGGCUUGUGUUGGGGACCUGCGGCUGCCGCAGGCCCUGAAAAGCAGUGGCGGGCUCGCUGUCACACCGAGCGUAGUAGCAUACAUCUCGCUCUGGGCGUGCUGCGGGUUCCGGCCGUUAAACCACCUUCAUAACCCAAGGUUGACCUCGGUUCAGGUAGGAAGACCCGCUGAACUUAAGCAUAUCAAUAAGCGGAGGA